rnacentral:rRNA from 1 species
AGUGAACGCUGGCGGUAGGCCUAACACAUGCAAGCCGAACGGCAGCACAGUAAGAGCUUGCUCAUACGGGUGGCGAGUGGCGGACGGGUGAGGAAUACAUCGGAAUCUACUUUUUCGUGGGGAUAACGUAGGGAAACUUACGCUAAUACCGCAUACGACCUACGGGUGAAAGCAGGGGAUCUUCGGACCUUGCGCGAUUGAAUGAGCCGAUGUCGGAUUAGCUAGUUGGCGGGGUAAAGGCCCACCAAGGCGACGAUCCGUAGCUGGUCUGAGAGGAUGAUCAGCCACACUGGAACUGAGACACGGUCCAGACUCCUACGGGAGGCAGCAGUGGGGAAUAUUGGACAAUGGGCGCAAGCCUGAUCCAGCCAUACCGCGUGGGUGAAGAAGGCCUUCGGGUUGUAAAGCCCUUUUGUUGGGAAAGAAAAGCAGCAGGUUAAUACCCCGCUGUUCUGACGGUACCCAAAGAAUAAGCACCGGCUAACUUCGUG